rnacentral:rRNA from 1 species
AUUGAACGCUGGCGGCAGGCCUAACACAUGCAAGUCGAACGAGUGGCGGACGGGUGAGUAAUGUCUGGGAAACUGCCUGAUGGAGGGGGAUAACUACUGGAAACGGUAGCUAAUACCGCAUACCAUCAGAGGUGCCCAGAUGGGAUUAGCUAGUUGGGGGGGUAACGUGUCACCAAGGCGCCGAUCCCUAGCUAGUCUGAGAGGAUGACCAGCCACACUGGAACGGAGACACGGUCCAGACUCCUACGGGAGGCAGCAGUGGGGAAUAUUGGACAAUGGGCGCAAGCCUGAUGCAGACAUGCCGCGUGUAUGAAGAAGGCCUUCGGGUUGUAAAGUACUUUCAGCGAGGAGGCGUUACCCGCAGAAGAAGCCCCGGCUAACUCCGUGCCAGCAGCCGCGGUAAUAC